rnacentral:misc_RNA from 1 species
GAAGUCCAAAAUAUGCCAUUUGCUGCAGCAUUAGCAGCACCAUUGGCACCCCAAAUCUCUUCACAUAAAAAAGUGUGGGCUUCUUCCGGCACAAUCAGGAAAAAUAGCAAUGCCCAGAUGCAAAAAUUGGAAAAGAAUGCUCUUCGGAAUGUAACAGAGGUAGUUAGAAAGGAUGCGGAGUUCAUAAAAAAGGGAAUUGGGAAGGGGCUGCAA